CUGGACAAAGACUGACGCUCAGGUGCGAAAGCGUGGGGAGCAAACAGGAUUAGAUACCCUGGUAGUCCACGCUGUAAACGAUGUCGACUUGGAGGUUGUGCCCUUGAGGCGUGGCUUCCGGAGCUAACGCGUUAAGUCGACCGCCUGGGGAGUACGGCCGCAAGGUUAAAACUCAAAUGAAUUGACGGGGGCCCGCACAAGCGGUGGAGCAUGUGGUUUAAUUCGAUGCAACGCGAAGAACCUUACCUACUCUUGACAUCCAGAGAAUUCGCUAGAGAUAGCUUAG
rnacentral:rRNA from 1 species